AUAACGCCUCUUAUUGAGAUUAUUUUUAUCUUAGCGGCGUAUUAGGCAGCUGACACCGUCAAUCAAUCAUUCUGUAAUAAACUAAACCCUUAGCCAAAUAUCCCGCAUUUUUGUUUCUCUUUACUUGUCUUCUUCCUUCUCCUCCUUCUCCCUUCUUCCUUCUCCACCUCCUUCACUCUUCUUCACCACUGACUGUCGCUGGUGUCUAACUAAAGCUACAGACUCUUCUCCAUCAUCGGGAUCCGGUGUCUCACUAAAGCUACAGAGUCAUCUCCACCGUCGGGCGCUGGUGACUCACAAACCACAGACCCAGAUCUACUAAAAUUAUGGGAAAGUUAUAGCAACCAACUGAAAUCCGUCAAUUCACGCCCUGGGUUCAAGUUAUUGGGUGAAUUUCACCGUAGUUUCAAGUUCGCCGGCCGUCGUGCUAGGUCUAGGUGUCAAGACCGUAUAAACAAGCUGAAUUUGAUAUCAUUUUUGGUGAGGGUGCGAGUAAGUUGAUGUCUGCCUUCUGGAUGGAUAGUGCUGUUAUUUUCUACAGUUUUUACUCUGUUAUCCGAGAAGAUAUUUCUGGACAGGAAUAACUUUCUGACUACAUGCGGACUAGAGGGGUUUAAGAUGAAUGCAAGGGAAAUAGAGUGCCUUUUGAGUUUCUCCAACACUUGUGUUCUGUUGACUUGAAAUACAUUAUGCAGUAGGAGCUUUAUUGAUCUACCAAUCAGCAGAUCCUUGUCCUAGGUUUGCACGUUACUAAGUGGAGAUCCUUUCACCGAUGAAAUCAAUUGAUGACAUACGAGACAAAUGGGCAUCAUACUUCACCGAACAUUGUGUGUAAAUAACUAACACUUCAUCGAUCUCCUUUUGUGGAUGUUUCUUGCUAUUGAAAUCAUAUAUAAUUGCCUUAUUAUAGUUUUGGUGCAAAUUUAUAACGUACGAAGUGUAAAAGACAUAGUUAUGAUCGACUUGUAACUAUUUAGGUGAUUCAUUUUUGUAAACAUAUGAUGGUGGCUUUAUAUGUAAAAAUCAAAGUUUCUUGCAAGUUA